GAGCUUGCUCCUGGAUUCAGCGGCGGACGGGUGAGUAAUGCCUAGGAAUCUGCCUGGUAGUGGGGGACAACGUUUCGAAAGGAACGCUAAUACCGCAUACGUCCUACGGGAGAAAGCAGGGGACCUUCGGGCCUUGCGCUAUCAGAUGAGCCUAGGUCGGAUUAGCUAGUUGGUGAGGUAAUGGCUCACCAAGGCGACGAUCCGUAACUGGUCUGAGAGGAUGAUCAGUCACACUGGAACUGAGACACGGUCCAGACUCCUACGGGAGGCAGCAGUGGGGAAUAUUGGACAAUGGGCGAAAGCCUGAUCCAGCCAUGCCGCGUGUGUGAAGAAGGUCUUCGGAUUGUAAAGCACUUUAAGUUGGGAGGAAGGGUUGUAGAUUAAUACUCUGCAAUUUUGACGUUACCGACAGAAUAAGCACCGGCUAACUCUGUGCCAGCAGCCGCGGUAAUACAGAGGGUGCAAGCGUUAAUCGGAAUUACUGGGCGUAAAGCGCGCGUAGGUGGUUUGUUAAGUUGGAUGUGAAAUCCCCGGGCUCAACCUGGGAACUGCAUCCAAAACUGG
rnacentral:rRNA from 1 species